AAUAGAUACCCCGGUAGUCCACGCCGUAAACGAUGAGUGCUAAGUGUUAGAGGGUUUCCGCCCUUUAGUGCUGCAGCUAACGCAUUAAGCACUCCGCCUGGGGAGUACGGUCGCAAGACUGAAACUCAAAGGAAUUGACGGGGGCCCGCACAAGCGGUGGAGCAUGUGGUUUAAUUCGAAGCAACGCGAAGAACCUUACCAGGUCUUGACAUCCUCUGACAACUCUAGAGAUAGAGCGUUCCCCUUCGGGGGACAGAGUAACAGGUGGUGCAUGGUUGUCGUCAGCUCGUGUCGUGAGAUGUUGGGUUAAGUCCCGCAACGAGCGCAACCCUUGAUCUUAGUUGCCAGCAUUUAGUUGGGCACUCUAAGGUGACUGCCGGUGACAAACCGGAGGAAGGUGGGGAUGACGUCAAAUCAUCAUGCCCCUUAUGACCUGGGCUACACACGUGCUACAAUGGAUGGUACAAAGGGCUGCAAGACCGCGAGGUCAAGCCAAUCCCAUAAAACCAUUCUCAGUUCGGA
rnacentral:rRNA from 1 species